ACGUUAGCGGCGGACGGGUGAGUAACACGUGGGUAACCUACCUAUAAGACUGGGAUAACUUCGGGAAACCGGAGCUAAUACCGGAUAAUAUUUCGAACCGCAUGGUUCGAUAGUGAAAGAUGGUUUUGCUAUCACUUAUAGAUGGACCCGCGCCGUAUUAGCUAGUUGGUAAGGUAACGGCUUACCAAAGCUACGAUACGUAGCCGACCUGAGAGGGUGAUCGGCCACACUGGAACUGAGACACGGUCCAGACUCCUACGGGAGGCAGCAGCC
rnacentral:rRNA from 1 species